rnacentral:rRNA from 1 species
CCUACGGGUGGCAGCAGUGAGGAAUAUUGGUCAAUGGACGAGAGUCUGAACCAGCCAAGUAGCGUGAAGGAUGACUGCCCUAUGGGUUGUAAACUUCUUUUAUAUGGGAAUAAAAUGUUCCACGUGUGGGAUUUUGUAUGUACCAUAUGAAUAAGGAUCGGCUAACUCCGUGCCAGCAGCCGCGGUAAUACGGAGGAUCCGAGCGUUAUCCGGAUUUAUUGGGUUUAAAGGGAGCGUAGGUGGAGUGUUAAGUCAGUUGUGAAAGUUUGCGGCUCAACCGUAAAAUUGCAGUUGAAACUGGCAGUCUUGAGUACAGGAGAGGUAGGCGGAAUGCGUGGUGUAGCGGUGAAAUGCAUAGAUAUCACGAAGAACUCCGAUUGCGAAGGCAGUUCACUGGACUGCAACUGACACUGAGGCUCGAAAGUGUGGGUAUCAAACAGGAUUAGAUACCCGAGUAGUC